GUCUUGUCAGUGAUGUUCUUAAACACAAAUGUCUGAACAAAUGAACCUCUGUGAUUCACCCUUUAACGCUGAGACAAGAC